GCCCCGGUGGCGAAACUGGUAAACGCAAGGGACUUAAAAUCCCUCGGCGGGAAACCGCCUUGCCGGUUCGAUCCCGGCCCGGGGCACCA
rnacentral:tRNA from 1 species